CACACAGCCUGUUUUUAUUUAUAGGCUGUUUUCAACUUGUCAAUUUUAAAUUAUUUUCUAACAAGUUUUUUAUUUUCUAAUAACAGAUUGAAUUGAGAUGUGUUCCGCCUCAUUCAUUCACACAAAAGUAGUCAUUUUUACUUUUGCAGAUCAAUUCAUUUUUUGGGACAUUUCUGACCCGGACAAAAUUCCCCAAACACUUCCCAAUUGUUUGUGCAGUUCAAGUCUACAGACAUUUGCUCAUCUCGUCCUGCAUACACGUGUUCACAUUUUCCUUCUGUUGCCUGCAUCGCAAUCAACGUUGUUUUCGUUACCAAUAAUAACUUUGGAAGUGUGUGUGUUUCUAUCAAACUGCUCUGUCAGAAACAACUUGAAGCACUGCCUCAGAUGGAAAUGGCAAGGGCCGUUGCACUCCAGACUGGGACUCAUCAACGCAAACAGCAGGGCCAGGAGGGGUGAAAUGGCUGGCAGCCUUCCAGCUACCACAGAACUCUUGUACUUCAUCCACUAUCGGUCUGCCUCCAUCACCACCAGCAUCUUCAAAUGGAACUAGGACUUUGUCAGUGGACAAUGGGUCCUCAGAUUCAAGGUUCUCAAUGGCUGGGUUCUCAGCUCCUCACUGUAACUGUCAGAAUCUGAUUCCUGACUUUCAGACUCAUUGUCAGAAUUUUUUUACAUCUCCAGAAUUUCCCAAUUUUGUGAGUUGUCUCCUUUUGAAAGGCAUUGCUAAUGCUACAGCUUCUCAUUAGCUACAUACAUAAACAA
rnacentral:lncRNA from 1 species